rnacentral:rRNA from 1 species
UACAGAGGGUGCUAGCGUUGUCCGGAAUCACUGGGCGUAAAGAGCUCGUAGGUGGCUUGUUGCGUCGGUUGUGAAAGCCCGGGGCUUAACCCCGGGUCUGCAGUCGAUACGGGCAGGCUAGAGUGAUGUAGGGGAGACUGGAAUUCUUGGUGUAGCGGUGAAAUGCGUAGAUAUCAAGAGGAACACCUGAGGUGAAGACGGGUUGCUGGGCUGACACUGACGCUGAGGCGCGAAAGCCAGGGGAGCAAACGGG